rnacentral:tRNA from 1 species
GCCCCCAUCGUCUAGAGGUCUAGGACACCGGCCUUUCAAGCCGGCAACGGCGAUUCGAAUUCGCCUGGGGGCA